GCACGACCGGAUGUUUUCAAAUUCAUUUGAAUUAAAUCCCCAUCUUUCUCUCUCUCAUUCUCUCCCCUCUCACUCAGAUCCACCCGUGCGAGCCCGCUUCCGUGCUCCAUCGCCGUGCAUGACCAGUGCCGGAAACCUAGGGUUCCUCGCAGCGGUCUCCUAUGACUCCGAUCGACCGUAGGCCUCAGCGCCGCGGAGAUGGAGGCGCUCCCCCUCAUCGACAUCUCUGCUGAGGACGAUCUCCUCUAUGACCUCGCCUCACUGGCCCCGCCGCGUCCCGAUCCACCCCACGCAGGGUCUCAGGUGGGUGCUGUGGCGACCUCCUCUGUUGGUUCUCCGUUGGCGGCAGUCCGGUCUAUGGAUCCGGAAGGUGUGAUGGUGGAUCAGGCACCCCUGAGCGGACGGAGUCUCCGGAGUAGUGGAAAGCCAAAAAGGGGGUAAACCUCUCCGCAAGAACUUGGCAUGGGACAACGCCUUUUUUACCAGUGAAGAUUUAGAACAUGAGUUAGCCGGCUGCAGGUGACUAGAGGCAAGGAGGAUCCUACACCUACUGCUGCAGCUCCCCCAGGCUCCCCAUGUGUUCUAUGCUUGAUGAGUUAGGUUUUUAUGCAUUUUAGAUCAAGCCUUUGACUAUGAAAUUUGAUUGUUUUUUGCAGAUUUAGAAUACGACACGUAUCAAUUUGUGUGCUUGCAUUUCUUAAUUGUUCAAAUUAUUCAUGCUUAGUUUUAUUCAUGCUUAGGUUUCUAUGCAAUUUUGAUUUAGAAAAUUGAUGCAUCCCGCAAGAGACACCUGGUGAGUUUCUAUGCAUAUGGAAAUUGAUAAAUGAAGAGUUUCUGCUUGUUGCUAAGUGGAGUCACUCCAGAUGGAUGAUUCUAUGCACCUCUAUUUUUAUUUUUAUGCGCUCUGGGCAUGGCACCAAUUGCAAGCUUCUGUUCCUUUUUUUGUUUUUCUUAUAAAUUCAUAUGUACUCAAUUAUAGGCUCAAUUUAAUCAUUAAGUGUGCUUGCUGCUCCUAGGCAUGGAGCAGUCCGUAAGAACUCAUGCUUGCGCGCUGCUCGCAUACUUUCUUACUGUUAUCAUUGCUUUUUAUGCCAGCGCCUCCAUCUGGCGGAUAGGGAACUCGUGUGGGUCUCCUAUUCGUCUUGCAACAGAUCCAUCCUGGUUUGCACUUCUCUAUCCAAGGGGAACACGUGAGCUGAGGAAGGUGCUCGAGCUCGCUACCGACAAGGAGCCGAUCUAGGUGGAGGAGAUUGUCUACGGCACUAGGUUUCUAUGCAGCUAAUGGACAUUAGUGUCCCAACCUCAUGUGGGUCAUAGCUAUGCAGCUCCUGCUCCCCACCGGAUGGUUGAAAGGAUUCCUCUAUUUGGUGUGAGGUCAAUGGUGGCUCAGACAUCAUAGGACAUGGCUUGCGACGUCCACAAUUUCCUUCCUUGGCUUGUGACGGUGGCGUAGUGUGAUAUUCAAUAUAGUUGAUGGGUUAAUGUAAAAAGUUAGUUUUUUAUAUGUUGUGUUUAUAUGCUUGGAUGGCAUGAGUGAAAUUAUUGGUUUCUAUGUAACUUCUUUUGGGUUUCAAUAUUUGGUUGACUUAGUGUCUAUGCAUGUUGUGAGCUAGGAACAUUAUUCCACAUCUAGCGUGUAGUGUUUUGUAUGUUUCAUUACCCUAGAGGGAAGUAUGGUGUAAGGUUUCUAUACAUUGUUGCUCUAUUAAAUAAACAUAUCCUGGUGCAAAGAA